UUAGCUCAGUUGGUUAUAGCAUGGUGCUAAUAACACCAACAUUGUGGGUUUGAUCCCCAUA
rnacentral:tRNA from 1 species